rnacentral:lncRNA from 1 species
UUGUUACAAAUUUUUAAGCUAUUAGACUCCACGAUUCUGACCUCCCUUACAUGUAAUAAAAUCAAUUAGACCACAAUUAGGUGAAGAACAUUAUGAUUAAUUAAAGUACCUGGGAAGGUUUUCCUUUUAUUUUGGGUAGGACAACAACUUAGAAAUUAUAAGUAAGGACAUCAGGACUUCAUGGUCAUUAGUUACCAUGUAAGAGGAUUCAAUUUAGAAUUCGAGGAAUGUAAUAUAAAUGCAAGCUGAGCCGGAAUCCGACAUAUAUUAUUAUCGGUAGUAUGAGGACCAGGCUCUCCGAGACCCGCUUGCCUCAGAGUGACUAUGUGAUUAUAAAUUGGACAAGAUAAUUAUGUGUGUGAUACACCUUUAUUUUGCGUCAUUAUCAUAUUAUGAAAACUUUAUGCAUGCUGUUAGAUUUCAGCAAGUUCCCCCGGUGUAGUCACCAGUAGUUGGGUAGUAGAACUCGCUGAGGCUUAGUAGUCUCAUCUCACGAUUAUUUAAUUUUUUUCAGAUAAGCAGGUGACAUAAGGUAAAGCGCUUUUGGAUGGAGCUGUUUAUGUCCAAGAAUUCAUGUUUAAAGUUUUAUUAUCAUAAUUUUAUAUUAUGUAUAAGUUUAAGACUAUGUCACUUUCUUAUGAACUCAUGUAUUCAGCACAUGUGUGUGCAUUUUUGAACUCUUAUAUAUUAUAAUUUUUAAAUAAUAAUGAACUAUGUAUCGAUUUACAUUAUCAUUAUCAUUUUAUAUUCUACAUAUAUAUAUGGGGAGUCAGGUUAGUAUAACUGGGGAGUUGUAUAUGAUAUUUGGUUAACUCGUU